UAGGGAAUCUUCCGCAAUGGACGAAAGUCUGACGGAGCAACGCCGCGUGAGCGAUGAAGGUCUUCGGAUCGUAAAGCUCUGUUGUUAGGGAAGAACAAGUACCGGAGUAACUGUCGGUACCUUGACGGUACCUAACCAGAAAGCCACGGCUAACUACGUGCCAGCAGCCGCGGUAAUACGUAGGUGGCAAGCGUUGUCCGGAAUUAUUGGGCGUAAAGCGCGCGCAGGCGGUCCUUUAAGUCUGAUGUGAAAUCUUGCGGCUCAACCGCAAGCGGUCAUUGGAAACUGGGGGACUUGAGUGCAGGAGAGGAAAGCGGAAUUCCAUGUGUAGCGGUGAAAUGCGUAGAGAUAUGGAGGAACACCAGUGGCGAAGGCGGCUUUCUGGCCUGUAACUGACGCUGAGGCGCGAAAGCGUGGGGAGCAAACAGGAUUAGAUACCC
rnacentral:rRNA from 1 species